rnacentral:rRNA from 1 species
UGGGGAAUAUUGCACAAUGGGGGGAACCCUGAUGCAGCCAUGCCGCGUGAAUGAAGAAGGCCUUCGGGUUGUAAAGUUCUUUCGGUGAUGAGGAAGGUGUUUGUUUUAAUAGAACAAGCAAUUGACGUUAGUCACAGAAGAAGCACCGGCUAACUCCGUGCCAGCAGCCGCGGUAAUACGGAGGGUGCGAGCGUUAAUCGGAAUAACUGGGCGUAAAGGGCACGCAGGCGGUGACUUAAGUGAGAUGUGAAAGCCCCGGGCUUAACCUGGGAAUUGCAUUUCAUACUGGGUCGCUAGAGUACUUUAGGGAGGGGUAGAAUUCCACGUGUAGCGGUGAAAUGCGUAGAGAUGUGGAGGAAUACCGAAGGCGAAGGCAGCCCCUUGGGAAUGUACUGACGCUCAUGUGCGAAAGCGUGGGGAGCAAACAGG